rnacentral:tRNA from 1 species
GGGGGCAUAGCUCAGUGGUAGAGCGCUCGCUUAGCAUGCGAGAGGGCUGGGGUCAGUGGUCGAAAAGUCAUGUCAACAGGGUUUUGCCGUCG